rnacentral:lncRNA from 1 species
UCGAUUGAAAAGAAUCUAGUUCAGAAGUUGAAUUCCUUCAUACUUCACUCUUCAAGAUCACAAUCAGAGUCCUCUUUUUGGCUUCUGAAGCUUUAGAGUCUAGGUCCCUAGAGGCUGACUUUUUUCAGAUUUGACUUCUUCAGAGUCUAGAUCACCACUAAAGGCAGAGUCUUCAGAAGUACUUUUCAGAGCCAGAGUAUAAUCAUCAGAGUCAGAUUCCUC